rnacentral:rRNA from 1 species
GAUGAACGCUGGCGGCGUGCCUAAUACAUGCAAGUCGAGCGAACAGACGAGGAGCUUGCUCCUCUGACGUUAGCGGCGGACGGGUGAGUAACACGUGUAUAACCUACCUAUAAGACUGGGAUAACUUCGGGAAACCUGAGCUAAUACCGGAUAAUAUAUUGAACCGCAUGGUUCAAUAGUGAAAGACGGUUUUGCUGUCACUUAUAGAUGUAUCCGCGCCGCAUUAGCUAGUUGGUAAGGUAACGGCUUACCAAGGCAACGAUGCGUAGCCGACCUGAGAGGGUGAUCGGCCACACUGGAACUGAGACACGGUCCAGACUCCUACGGGAGGCAGCAGUGGGGAAUCUUCGGCAAUGGGCGAAAGCCUGACGGAGCAAUGCCGCGUGAGUGAUGAAGGUCUUCGGAUCGUAAAACUCUGUUAUUAGGGAAGAACAAAUGUGUAAGUAACUAUGCACGUCUUGACGGUACCUACUCAGAAAGCCACGGCUAACUACGUG